rnacentral:piRNA from 1 species
UGGAAGAGCUUCUGGGUAACAGGAGG